UUCAUUUCAUGAUUACAACAACAUUUCCGGUUCUCGUUAGAUCACCGAAGUUAAGCAUCAUUGGGCGCGGUCAGUACUUGGGUGGGUGACCACCUGGGAACACUGCGUGCCGUU
rnacentral:rRNA from 1 species